GGGGUGCAGCAGGCGCGAAACUUUGCAAUACACGAAAGUGUGACAGGGUCAUCCCGAGUGCCGACCGCUGAGGUUGGCUUUUACCCAGUCUAGAAAGCUGGGGGAAUAAGGAGAGGGCAAGUCUGGUGUCAGCCGCCGCGGUAAUACCAGCUCUCCGAGUGGUGUGGACGUUUAUUGGGCCUAAAGCAUCCGUAGCUGGCUGAACAAGUCCCCUGUUAAACCCACCGAUUUAAUCGUUGGUCUGCGGGGGAUACUGCUCGGCUAGGGGACGAGAGAGGCAGGCGGUAUUCCCGGGGUAGGGGUGAAAUCCUAUAAUCCCGAGAAGACCACCAGUGGCGAAGGCUGCCUGCUAGAACGCGCCCGACGGUGAGGGAUGAAAGCUGGGGGAGCGAACCGGAUUAGAUACCCGGGUAGUCCCAGCUGUAAACGAUGCAGACUAGGUGUUUGGACGGCCACGUGCCGUUCUAGUGCCGCAGGGAAGCUGUUAAGUCUGCCGCCUGGGGAGUACGAUCGCAAGAUUGAAACUUAAAGGAAUUGGCGGGGGAGCACCACAAGGGGUGAAGCUUGCGGUUUAAUUGGAGUCAACGCCGGAAAUCUCACCGGGAGCGACAGCAGUAUGAAGGCCAGAUUAAAGGUCUUGCCAGACGAGCUGAGAGGAGGUGCAUGGCCGUCGCCAGUUCGUGCCGUGAGGUGUCCUGUUAAGUCAGGCAACGAUCGAGACCCGCGUCCUCUGUUGCAACUAGCUUUGAGCUGGGCACACUGAGGAGACCGCCACUGAUAAAGUGGAGGAAGGAGCGGGCCACGGCAGGUCAGUAUGCCC
rnacentral:rRNA from 1 species